UGAUUCCCUUAGUAACGGCGAGUGAAGCGGGAAGAGCUCAAAUUUGAAAUCUGGCACUUUUGGUGUCCGAGUUGUAAUUUCUAGAGGUGUUUUCAGUGCUUGGCUUGGUAUAAAUCCUUUGGAACAGGGUAUCAUAGAGGGUGAGAAUCCCGUCUUUGACCUGGUCUAAGUACUAUGUGAUACACUUUCAAAGAGUCGAGUUGUUUGGGAAUGCAGCUCUAAAUGGGUGGUAAAUUCCAUCUAAAGCUAAAUACAGGCGAGAGACCGAUAGCGAACAAGUACCGUGAGGGAAAGAUGAAAAGAACUUUGAAAAGAGAGUGAAAAAGUACGUGAAAUUGCUAAAAGGGAAGCAAAAGAGACCAGUCUUACUAGUAAAUAAUCAGCCUUACUUUUGUAUGGUGCACUUAUUAAUUAGUAGGCCAACAUCAGUUUUCUUUAUUAGAUAAUGGUUACAGGAACGUAGCUCCUUGCGAGUGUUAUAGCCUGGGACUUGAUAUAAUAGAGGGGACUGAGGACUGCAGCGCGCAGUAUUGCGGCCCUAGGGCCUCCGCGCUAAGGAUGUUGGCAUAAUGGUCUUUUUUGACCCGUCUUGAAACACGGACCAAGGAGUCUA
rnacentral:rRNA from 1 species